AUAAACUGAACUGACCAGCAAUCUAUCCACUUGACUACGCCAUAGUGAGGCUGUCUGUUGGAAGAGGAAGACCCACCACUUCUGCCUUUGCUGCGCUUCUCUUUCCUUUUCCAGUACAGACAUCCCACCUUCCCUUUCCUGCUGUCAAUUCUUUUUUUUUCUCAGUUUCAAGUCAACUUCCUCUUUUAGAAGGCAAAAAUAAGCUAGCAGAUGACGCUGUCAAGGGCUGUAAGACAUGUGAUGGGGUUGUCUGGUAGUAGAAGGCUGGCCUUUUCAAAGUCAAGGCUUUUAAGAUGACAAGGAGCUCACAUUUCAAGUACUAAAUGAUAACUUUGUUAUCAUCAGGAUAUUGUGGAUGGAAUUUUGAAAGCAGAUAAACGUCAAAGAGAUUUUUUUCAGAAACUGAUGCAACUUUUCAGUAGAUCAACUUCUCAUAUUUAUUGCAUGACAUUUGGCAACUGAAGAACUGCAGGGUUUGGUUUUUUUUUAAAAUAAAAGUUAAUUUCUCCAUUCUUCUUUAAGAUGCCAAAGUGGCUGAGAAUCGUGUUUCUCCUGUUAGCAUCGUUUUGUUUAGGUCUACAGAAGGGAAACAGCAAUGAUGAUGACAAUGACAGCGAUGAUGAUGGUGAUGUUGAUGGUACGUUUUAUUGGAAUUUACACUAUAUUUAUUUAUACUGGAGUAUAUGACUUGCUUAAUCAUUUGUAGUAAAUACGGUACCUUCGUUGUAGUGUAUGCUAACAUAGAUAGCUGCAGUUUUUGUUUUGAUGAGAAAUAAGCACAAAUCUGGGCAGAAAGUAUAACACCAUCUGUUUAGAGUGUUCUAAAAUAUUGUUUGAGAUGUAGAGAAAAUGAAACUAACAGGAACAGGGCUGGAGCCAAUAUUUGCUAAAUUAAUGUUUAGGGCUCUGAACAAUUCAAAAGCAGGCCUGCAGAAACUGUGCUUAAUGUGGUUAAGAAUGGUGCCAAUCUGAAUUCAGUGUGUUCCCCAAUAAAGACAACAGAUCCAACA
rnacentral:lncRNA from 1 species